UCGCGCUGAGAUGAGACGGAAGUCUGGCUUGGCCCGGAGAUGGCUCGGGCUCCAGGCCUCCCGGACACAACUUCUGAAAACCGUGACGUGGGCUGAGCUGCCCAGGGAUCGUGUAAAGUUCAGACUGUGACUCGGCGUCUGUGUGAGUUCCCUGCGGCUGCUGUAGGCCAGGCUCUGAGUGUGACGAAUGGUUCAUUGUGAGUCAAACUCUUUCUGCGCUGGCCCUGGCGUGCCCCUGGCUGGACACUGUGAAGUCAGGCCAGGCUGGUCCUGAUGCCUGUGGGGCCGUGGGCCCACAGCCUGCACCGCUCAGACUCCAAAAACCAAGAGGCCGCUGUGAGCCGGCCGACCUCUGGAGGGCCCCCGUCGUGGUGCCUGGGCUGCACUUGCCGCAGUAGCUGACAACCACGAGGCUCAGAGCGACUCCAGGCCUGCCCCACGCGGAGCUCGGGCACCCGUCCUCGGGGGCAUCUGCUGCUCCCUCGCUGGCCCUGCACCCGCCUGGCAGUCUGUCCCUGCAAACCCCACGCAGCCCACGGGGUUGAGCUCACACGUGCCUGCCCGAGUCUGUGUUGUGCUGAUUCACAGGUAAACUGUGGGCUCAGGAGGAAGGUGCUUGGCACACACUGGAUGGUCAUCACACGUCGAAAAUGCACGCGUGCCUGAACGAACACCUGCACGAGUGGGAAUCAGGUUGAAAACAGUCUAGCAUAAGCCACGGUCAACUGGUUCAGCCAGUGUGGCUCCUCGCUCGGCCGGGCUCACCUGUCCUAGAAAUUCACGGGCAGGGGCGGCCUGGGAGCCGCACCCACGUCCCUGCCCAGCCCGCCUCCGCCACUGUCCUAAGUGGCUGGAGCAGGAUGGGACCGCGUUUCUCUGGCGUCACACCAGGCACCCUUGGUGACGCAGCCUCACUCUCGCCAUCCCCACGAGGGCAGGCAACACUCGCCCCGUCUCACAGAGGAGAACGUCGAGGCUGGGGCCAAGGGCUCGGUGCUCAGGACUCUUUCCACGCCGCGCUGCCUCUGAAAACACCUGGUGCUUUGUCUGAGUCUGAGCUGGGACAACCGGGCACCCCGUUCACCCCAGAACCCCCCAAACACCCCGUUUUGCCCACUUAGGGAGGACUUGGGGGAACCUGUCUCAUUCCCUUUGAAGUCCUGCUGGAGGCGGCAGGUGGCAAGGGAUGGGGCUGCCCGGGGAGCUGGAGGGAAGCGGUCUGAGUCCGU